UGCCAUCAGCCGCGGUAAUACGUAGGGAGCGAGCGUUGUUCGGAUUUACUGGGCGUAAAGAGCACGUAGGCGGGUAUACAAGUCGGUUGUGAAAUCCUCUGGCUCAACCAGAGAACUGCAAUCGAAACUGUAUGCCUUGAGUCCAUCAGAGGAAAUCGGAAUCUUAGGUGUAGCGGUGAAAUGCGUAGAUAUCUAAGAGAACACCAGUGGCGAAGGCGGAUUUCUGGGAUGGCACUGACGCUGAGGUGCGAAAGCUGAGGGAGCGAACAGGAUUAGAUA
rnacentral:rRNA from 1 species